UCCGGCAUGGUCUAGUGGUUAGGAUACGUGGCUCUCACCCACGAGGCCCGGGUUCGAUUCCCGGUGUCGGAA
rfam:Tropilaelaps mercedesae isolate Wuxi-XJTLT scaffold0000022795, whole genome shotgun sequence.